rnacentral:rRNA from 1 species
AGAACGAACGCUGGCGGCAGGCCUCAAACAUGCAAGUCUAGGGGGGUGUAGCAAUACAUCACCGGCGGACGGGUGCGUAACACGUGGGAAUAUACCUUUUGGUUCGGAACAACGCAGGGAAACUUGCGCUAAUACCGAAUGUGCCCUUACGGGGAAAGAUUUAUCGCCAAAGGAUUAGCCCGCGUAGGAUUAGCUAGUUGGUGAGGUAAUGGCUCACCAAGGCUCCGAUCCUUAGCUGUUCUGAGAGGAAGAUCAGCCACACUGGGACUGAGACACGGCCCAGACUCCUACGGGAGGCAGCAGUUGGGAAUCUUGGACAAUGGGGGAAACCCUGAUCCAGCCAUGCCGCGUGAGUGAUGAAGGCCUUCGGGUUGUAAACUCUUUCGACGGGGACGAGUAAUGACGGUACCCGUAGAAGAAGCUCCGGCUAACUUCGCGCCAGCAGCCGC